CUUGCAUCACACAUAAGAGGUCCAGCCUGCCCAGUGACUUUGUUCAACGGCCGCGGUAUCCUAACCGUGCGAAGGUAGCGUAAUCACUUGUUCUUUAAAUAAGGACUAGUAUGAAUGGCAUCACGAGGAUUAUACUGUCUCCUUUUCCCAAUUAGUGAAACUAAUCUCCCCGUGAAGAAGCGGGGGUAACAUUAUAAGACGAGAAGACCCUAUGGAGCUUUAGAUUUAACAACACUUGUUUUCAUUAACUUAAAUUUCAGAACUAUUUAUUUACCUAACAAGAUGAUCGUCAAUCUUAGGUUGGGGUGACCGCGGAGCAUAAAGCAACCUCCAUGCUGAACGACAUAAAUGUCUUAUUCUAGAGCAACCGCUCUAAAAAACAAUAUAUUGACAUCCAUUGACCCAAUUUUUGAUCAACGAAC
rnacentral:rRNA from 1 species